GUUAAAGAGUUUUUGGAAGAAUAAAGUUUGGAAAGAUUUCUCGAGUGAGUUAGAAGAUAGCGCGAAGGAAAAUAGCUGUUCGUAGUGACAAGAAAAGUGUUUGCAGGAAGAAAAAUAGUUACGACUAUAGGUACGAGCACAAGUACGAGGGAAGAUACGGAUAGCUAGAAACGGAAAGGUAGAAAUAUAUAUACUGAAAAAUAUUGGAACAGGUGGUUCAACGUGAAUGGUACGACAGACAGGAAAUAAGUUCGCAUAAAAAAGGCAGAUAGAAAAUAAUAAUGUAAGUAGGAAGCAGGAAUAACGUGAAGACAAAAUUA